ensembl:misc_RNA Metazoa_SRP Metazoan signal recognition particle RNA
AUCGGGACUGGCCCCACAUGCCUGUAAUCCUAGCUAUUUGGGAGACUGAAGCAGGAGAAUUGCUUGAGUCCAGGAUUUCUGGCCUGUAAUGCUCUCUGAUGAUCUGAUGUCUGCAUUAAAUUUGACAUUAAUAUACCACCAGGUUGCCUAAGGAGGAGUGAAGGCUCAGAAUGAAAGCAGAACAAGUUAAAACUCUCAUGAUGAUCAGUAGUGGGAUUGUUCCUGUGAAGAGCCACUGCAUUUCAGCCUGGGCAACAUAGUGAGACCUCAUCUU